GAUGAACGCUGGCGGCGUGCCUAAUACAUGCAAGUCGAGCGAACAGACGAGGAGCUUGCUCCUCUGACGUUAGCGGCGGACGGGUGAGUAACACGUGGAUAACCUACCUAUAAGACUGGGAUAACUUCGGGAAACCGGAGCUAAUACCGGAUAAUAUAUUGAACCGCAUGGUUCAAUAGUGAAAUACGGUUUUGCUGUCACUUAUAGCUGGAUCCGCGCCGCAUUAGCUAGUUGGUAAGGUAACGGCUUACCAGGGCGACGAUGCGUAGCCGACCUGAGAGGGUGAUCGGCCACACUGGAACUGAGACACGGUCCAGACUCCUACGGGAGGCAGCAGUAGGGAAUCUUCCGCAAUGGGCGAAAGCCUGACGGAGCAACGCCGCGUGAGUGAUGAAGGUCUUCGGAUCGUAAAACUCUGUUAUUAGGGAAGAACAAAUGUGUAAGUAACUAUGCACGUCUUGACGGUACCUAAUCAGAAAGCCACGGCUAACUACGUG
rnacentral:rRNA from 1 species